GCUGGAACCGUCCCCCUCUACUUCGACUUCCCAGGCAGGAAGAUGAAGUUGAGGCUGCUAGUGCGGUUUGCGUUUAGGGGCGGUGGGAGGCUGUGCACGCAGGCAUAGCAAUCUAAUUAAGGACACGGCGCCCAAGGUGUGCAGUGGUGGAGAAAGAUGAGCGGGUUCAAGAGUGGCCGCACCUGUGGGUCGCAGUGCACUAGAGCACUGUCGCCAAAGUUGAGUUUGUUUCCCUGGAUGUGUCUCAACCUGCAAAGAGGAGGGAGUCUUCUUGACUCGAGUAGAACUCGGACCGUAGGUGCAUUCGACUGGUGGUUGCCCACCACCAGUUUGAGCGACCACCGUUUUGCCCUUUAAAAAUGUUUAUGUGGGGCGGGAUUCACGUGCCACCUCAUGCGUGUGAAGAGCAGAGAACAACCAGUUUUAUUUUUUUUUUUAUCCCACCCUCUGUCUGGUCCUAAAACUCAAGUCGUCAGGUUUGACAGCAGAGUGCCCUUACCUGCUGAACUGUCUCACCGCCCUGUGGUCUUAUUGUAGGUGGGCACCAAUGGCAUCAUCUCCACCCAGGACUUACCCAGGGAGACUUAAUAUGUCAUUGAUGAUUUUCCUACUGACUUCCCAGCCAUCGCCCCAUUCCUGGCUGACAGCCACUCGAGUCACAGCAGUGGCCGGAUCCUGUAUGGAGGACACAUCCUGGGAUGUGCUGAGUCUGGCUGCUUGCUACCUGUGCACAGGCUUCCCGCUGACCAGGUCCAGCUUCCCCCCUACCCACUUCUUCCUGGCCACCUGGGAGCAAGUGGGCGCCUAGGAGGAGGACAGGCUUGGGGCUGCAUGGUCUGGAGAGUGAUUCCUGAAGACACUAUCCUUAACCCUUUGUGCAUUUUCAACUCUCCGAUAUGGAGACUUCGAUGAUUUUAAUCUAGAGGAUGUGCUGAAAGAAACUUCCUCAGUAAAGCGUGAGUCAAACAAACAAGUCCACCAAGCAGACACUGUGCACCGUGCACCACAGUCACAAUCUUGCCUUCAGAAAAGUACACGCAUAUGAGACUAGCUGUACCUCCACCUACCUGUUUGUUCUGUUGUGCAAGGCUUGUGUUGUCUCAUCAUACGUGUGUCAUCUUCCUUUUUCAUUCAGUCUAUGUCGAGUCCAUGAGAGAACAUGCAUCUGCCUUAGCCUUUUUUCUGCUGUACAAAAAGAGAACUCCGACCCAUUUCAUACCCCUCACUGUUUUGUUUUGAGACAGGGUCUCUUGAUUUAGCCCGAGUUGUCCUGAAAUUCUCUGUGCCAACAAGGCCGUCUUUGACUUGGAUCCAGUGCUAGAGCAACAGUGACUCUUGGCCACUGAUGUGCAUUUCUAGCUUCAGAACCCAUGACUUUUUAUGAUUCUUCAGUGUGAUCCCCACAAUGGCCUUGGGGACCGAUGCCGAGACCAUUCUCACGAUGUGACUUCUAUAAACCAUAAAGCAGCCAAUGUGUUUUACAAUCUGCUUCCUUUCAUCCUCCCUUCUCCCUUCAGGAGCCACUUUAGCACCACGACUAGGAGGACAGGAACAACCAGAGCCCCAUCAAAUCCAGCAGGCUUUCUCUUGGCUGUCCUGGAACUCACUCUGUGGACCAGGCUGUUCUGAAGUUCAGAGAUCCUCUUGCUCUGUUCCUCGGAGUGCUGUGAUUAAAAGAGUGCAUCGCCAUAGAUCACAUGAAACUCAAGAAGGAUGGCCAAAAUGCGGAUGCUCCACUCCUUCUUUAAAAGGGGAACAAAAAUACCCUUAGGAGGGGGUAGGGAGGCAAAGUUUAGAGCAGAGUCUGAAGGAACAGCCAUUCAGAGCCUGCCCCACAUGUGGCCCAUACAUAUACAGCCACCAAACUAGAUAAGAUGGAUGAAGCAAAGAAGUGCAGGCUGACAGGAACCAGAUAUAUAUUUUUUCCAAAAUGUUUUCUGCUGAGUGUUUAGACAAUAGCUUUUUAGAUCUUUGAUUCGCUUUUAGUUGAUUUUAAUGUACGGUAUAGCAUGAUGGUCAAAUUUGCUUCUUUAACCACUUUCAGUUUGUAAAGCAGUUCUCUGUACAUCACAUAAAUGCUAGUUUAUAAAACAAUUCUCUGCACAUUACAGACAACACCAGCUCAUUCAUCUCUGGGCAUCGUAAUCUGCUGUUCAGUUCUUACACUAACAGUGGAAGAAACCAUAGCUCAAAGGUCUCAGGGAUCGUCUAGAAUUCCCUACUCCAUGUGUGCAGCAGAUCUGGGCUCAUGUUCUAGCUCUGGUCAAGUGGUGAGAUGUGGGUCUCUCGGUCCCCAACCUAUGAAGAAUGGUUAGAAUCCCCCUCACUUAAACCUGUUCUGUCUCUUUGCCAUCUUUUUCCGGGUAGUCAUGAGGUUGUAUAGGAGCUUUAAUAAGUACUAACGAUGGUCUAUUCAUGGUGUGACUUCCUUAAACUAUGAUGUAGGUAUACAUUUUAUUAUUAUUUCUUUUUUAUUGCUGUUUUCCCUCCCACUUUCAGAGAGAUGGGACCACAUCACCACUACUACAACGAGAAGGCCAGGAACAACUAGAGCACCGUCAAAUCCUAUGGAACUUGAUGGGUUUGACUUGGAAGAUGCCUUGUAUGAUCAGAAAAAAAGCCAAGUACAGGAGAAGGAGGAGGUUGGUCAGAGAAGGAUCUCGAAGAUAUCUUGGGAGGCGGGGGAUACAAACCUGAGAAGGAUAAAGGAGGAAGAUGUAGGAGAAGAAAAUCGAACCGUGGUUUGCCAAGGUGCUGCGGUUAUCCGAAGGGGGUGGAAAAGAAAGAAACGAUAUCUGACCUUGUUCAAUGACAUUUUGGUGGUAUCCAGUAAACUUUCCAUGGAACAGACCAUUUGGUGGUAUUUCUUUCUACAAAGAUCCAUUCGUGAAGCCAAAAAACACAACAUAACGGAACUUCCCAUGCAGAUAUUCACUGAGGACAUUGCAUGCUGUGACACUCCUCUAUAUGUAACAGCAACAAACUUCAAUAUGGUGAAUGACAUAAUCAGCAAGUUACUACCAAUGAUAAGAAAGCAUAACAUUGAAGAUUACCAACUGUGGUUCUGUCCUGGCCCUGGGAAAGCUCCAAGAGUACUCCAAGGGCAUGAGUAUCCACAUGACAUUAGAAUGAUAAAUAUUCAAAAGAACUUCAUUUCACGGGACUUAAGAAAUUUUACAGCUUUCCCUUCCCUACCUGGGGUAAUCAUGAAAUACCUAAACGCUGAUAUACAUGGGAAAUUCAUCUUGAAGCCCAGAAACUCAGCAAGAAGCCAGCAGCAAAAAAAUAUGAAGGAAAAAACUUUUAAGAAACAAAGAACUUCUAUGACGUCGCAAGUUGGACAGGGGCUCUGUGCCCCACCAGGACCAAGUAUGCACCACCCCACCAGUUAAAAAGGGAAGAAAACUGUUUGGAAGAGAACUCAGUUCCAUUUGUCAGGAUGGCAUCCUGCCCGCAGCAAUUCUGGUGUCACCAACAUUAUCCCCUACUUUUGGGGACAGUCAGUGUCUUUUACUGGCCUGGAAACAGGUAUAUAAAUUAAUCUGACUGACCAGAGAGCUUUGUGGUCUGUUUAUCUCUACUUCCAACAAAUGGAUUGUAAGUACACACCAAUAUGACCAGCUUUUGUUUUUUGUGGAGGUUCUGAGAGAAUUAUCUCUGGUCCUCAUCAUUGCAAGGCAAGAAUUGACCAAACCAACUUUCUCCUUUAUUUUAUUCUACACAUGUAGCAUAUAUAAUCCAUGAAUUACAAAAAUCAGUAGGAAAUGCUUUUUAAAUUUUAUUUAUUUACAACUGUUAUUGUGUGUGUAUGUCUGUGUGUCUGUGUGUAUGGUGUGUAUGUGUCUGUGUAAAUGUAUAUGGUGUGUAUGUGUAAAUGUAUAUGGUGUGUGUAUGUAAAUAUAUAUGGUGUGUGUGUGUGUGUGUGUGUGUGUGUGUGUGUAGGUGCAUAUGUCAUGCUACAUAGGUAUAGAUCAGAAGGCAGCUUGAUGUAGUCAGUUCUCAUUCCAUCUUUACAGGGUUUAGGAGUCCAACACUGGUCUCCAGACUUGCUCAACAAGCACAUUAUCACUAAAUAACUUUCUAUCAUUUUUAUUUCUAAUUAUUCAUGGCAAACUAACACAGAUCAGAUAUAACCUGCUGAGUGUCAUUUAGAAUAUGAAGUGCCUUUGAUUUGGAGCAGUGUUGCUCUAAAUUGUCAACCAGAUAGUUGCCAGCACACUGUUCUUUCCCUCUAAACUUACAAACAGUUUAUUUCAAAGAAGCAUUGCUUUGGUGAGUCAGCCAACGCAUUAUAAACAAGUUUAUUUCUACAAGCACAUGGAUUGUAGUUAUUCAAUUCAAUAUAACACAUUUGCUUCAUUGACUGCAUAAUACAGAUAGUCAACUCUACAUGCUCUUGAAAUACUCUGGAGAGAAAUCUGAAGGUGUUUCUAUGGGGGCUUUUCCAGAUUAGGCUAACUAUAGGAAGAAUUACUCAAAAUGUUAGUGUUACUAUGGGCUAGAAUCCCAGACACAGGAAAAACAGAAAGUAAGCUGAGUACCACAUUCAAUUCUCUUGGGUUUCUUGCUGUAAACACCAUGCAGGCAAUGGUCUCAUUCUUUUGGCAUCACAAUUGCUAUUCAGUGAGCACUAACUCUUAAGCCAAACUAUGAAGAAGGAGUACUUUUCUUGAGCUAAUAUACUAGCAGAUAGCUGCUCCCUGCCAUUUACAGAGAACAUCGGUGAGAGAAUCCUGAUUAUGUCGAAGGUAAUACUCCCAAUAUAUGGAAGAUUGAUAACUAAACAAGAGUGGGGCUACUUUUUAAAUAUAUGUCAUUUAAUCUUCCAAACAACACCUGUCUAAAGUCCUGAGAAACUGGAAAAUACCAUACGACAUGGGACAGUCGACCAAGCAUGAGAUUCUAAUCUCAAUGAUCCUCCCACAUCACUUUUCUUUUGUUCUUAUUAUUUGUCUUUUUGCUAUACAAAAUACCUAGCAAGAACGACAUAAAGAAGAAAAGGUUUGUUCUGUUUGAUACGGUAUCAGUAGAUACAGUCUAUCACGGCACAGAAGGAAUGGCUCCAGGAGUAUUAAGCAGUUGGUGCCAAUGUGUCCUUGGUUAUCUAGCAGACAAUGAUGAUCCCAUCUUCAGUUCAGUUUAUUUUUAUUCAUUCUAAGGUUCAAUCCUAUGGGAUGUUGUCACCCACAUUUAUGAUAGGUCUUUCCAAUUUUAAUAAUCUUGAAACUCCUCCCCACUGACAUACCCAGUGAUUUGUCUUUAAGACAAUUCUAGAUCCUGUCAGGUAGCUAGCACAUAGUAACCAUCACACUUUCGGAUUCAAGUCAAUGUUAGGGAGUUUACAAACAUCUAAAUGACUGUAUUGCUAUGAAUGUGACUUUAAGAAAACUUUUUAGUGGAAUUGUAUGUCCAAUAUGUUACCUCACUCAGGAUGAUAUUUUCUGUGUCCAUCUAUUUGCCUAUGAAUUUCAUAAAGUCAUUGUUUUUGAUAGCUGAGUAGUACUUCAUUGUGGAGAUGUACCACAUUUUCUAUAUCUAUUCCUCUGUUGGAUCCCAGGGCAUCUGGGUUUUUUCCAGCUUUUGGAUAUUAUAAAUAAGUCUGCUAUAAACAUAGUGGAUCAUUUCUCUUUGUUGUAUGUUGGAGCAUCAUUUGUCUAGUCUUACAACCAAAAGAAAGUUUCAUUAUGUGGCUUUGCUAUUUUGUUAUACAAAGCAGGUGGUGAUUGAAUGUGCCAGGACAUGCACCUAGUAACUUUCUAUGUGAGAAUGGAAGGAGCACCUAUCAGCAUUACCGACAAUAUGCUGGAAAAUGCAGAGGUUUACACACAUUCAAGGAUGGUUGGCCAAUGUUAGCCACAACUUGACAUUGUAGGUGAGAGUAGGUAGCCUAAUCAUCUGUCCAAUCUAUUCAAUGACAUAUCUCUUCUUCAACAUCAAGCUUAAAUUUAUGCCAAAGACCAGCCUCCAAUGGGAGAAGAGUUCCUUAGAAGAGGGACGUUUAAGAGAGGUGGAAAAAAAAACAAACUUGAAGGCAAAUUUUAAGUUAAAAGCUGAUGGCCUAUGUUUGCUCUCAACACGUUUCCAGACUUCUCCCUCUAGAGACAAUUUUCUCUUGCAAUUACAGAAAACUCAUGUCUUGUAGAUAAAAUGGCUAAUCUUCUGUUGAAAUAUCAAUUCAGUUAAUAUCUGAGAUUCUCUUUUGAUUAUCUCAUUAAUCAGUGUCCCAUGUUUCCCAUGACACCAGCAGAUUUAUUCUUAGAAUGAAACAUUUUUUUAAACAGUGCAAAUAAGUCCAUAGACCUGCCUUUUUUUUGAAAGCACGGAUAAUGAGCUCACUGUGUGGGACACCAUCCUGAUAUUAUGAUUUUUUACUAUGCCUGGAUUAACCUAACUCUUUCUCAGGCUGAUCAUGGUCUCAGGAAUCUGCCUGUCUUUGUAUCUGUAUGACAAGCUGGCUUAUAGUACAGCUUCCUCUGAUUUUCUCAGUCUACACAGCUCCUUUUACAAUUCACAUUGAAUGCUUAUAUCUUGGAAAGUUAAGGAAUUACAUAUUCUUGAACUCAUAUUUUCAGAGAUCUUUCCCAAGGCCUCCCAGAAUCAUGUUAUCUCCAUGAUUACCAUGGAGUCAUUAACCUUAGCAUGAGGACAAUCCUUACAUUAUUAUGUAAACAAGCCUUAUACCUACAGCAAUGAUUAUCACUACCAGAGGUUGCCAACUUGCUGGCUCAGUUCCUGGGGUGGAAACCAAGUCAAACAGUCUUUUACAUGGCCAAGCCAGACUUGGAAAAUUUAAAUUUUUUAUUUCUCUGUGUUUAUUAGGUAUGAGCAUGUGAGUGUGCAUGUGUGUGUGUGUGUGUGUGUGUGUGUGUGUGUGUGUGUGUGUGUGUGUGUACGGCAUUCAUAUGUGUGAGAGUGGGAAUGUACAUGACAAGUUUACCAACUUGUAGACAUCAAAGGACAAAUUCAGAUGUCAUUUCCUUUACAUUUUUUGAGACAGUGUAUUUUCUAUAUAAAGCAAUGUAACUGUCCCAAGACCUUUUGUGAUUCUCCUGUCCUUUCUCUCAUUUUAUGGUAGCAACACUGGGAUUAGAAAUAUAUAUUGAAAAACCUGAUUUUCAUUAGUUUUGGGAGUUUAAAUUAAGGCUCUCAUACUUGCAAAGCAAAUAUUUGUAAAAUUUUACUUCCUCACACCAUUCUCCAAACACACUUCUUAUUUCCUCUAAGAGCUUUAUGAUUAGAGAAGCUAUUUGACUUGCCAAUCCUGUCUGAUAUAAUUUCUUUUUAUUAUCCUUUCACCACAUGUAAAUUUUGAAAAGAAGAACCAAAAAAUAGACUGCCUCAGGACAACACAGACAACUAUUCUUGAUGGCAGAGGAAGCAAUUAAGAGGAGUGAGUUUAAGAGGAAUGGAUACAUAAAAUGUGGUACAUCUACACAAUGGAAUAUUACUCAGCUAUCAAAAACAAUGCCUUUAUGAAAUUCAUAGGCAAAUGGUUGGAACUGGAAAAUAUCACCCUGAGUGAACUAACCCAAUCACAGAAAGACAUACAUGGUAUGCACUCAUUGAUAAGUGGCUAUUAGCCCAAAUUCUUGAAUUACCCUAUAUGCCAAAAUACAUGAAACUGAAGUCGGAUGAUCAAAAUGUGAAUUCUUCACUCCUUCUUUAAAAGGGGAACAAGAAUACCCUUGGCAGGGAAUAGAGAGGCAAAGAUUAAAACAGUGACAGAAGGAACACCCAUUCAGAGCCUUCCCCACAUGUGGCCCAUACAUAUACAGCCACCCAAUUAGACAAGAUGGAUGAAGCAAAGAAGUGCAGGCAGACAGGAGCCAGAUGUAGAUAUCUCCUAAGAGACACAGCAAGAACACAGCAAAUACAGAGGCGAAUGCCAGCAUCAAAGCACUGAACCGAGAACAGGACCCCUGUUGAAGAAAUCAGAGAAAGAACUGGACGAGCUUGAAGGGGCUAGAGACCCCAUAUGUACAACAAUGCCAAGCAACCAGAGCUUCCAGGGACUAAGCCACUACCUAAAGACUAUACAUGGACUGGCCCUGGACUCUGACCUCAUAGGUAGCAAUGAAUAUCCUAGUAAAAUCACUAGUGUAAGGGGAAGCCCUGGGUCCUGCUAAGACUGAACCCUCAGUGAACGUGAUUGUAGUGGGGAGGGCGACAAUGGGGGAGGAUGGGGAGGGGAACACUCAUAAAGAAAGGGAGUGGGAGGGUUUGUUGGAUGCUGGCCCGGAAACCGGGAAAGGGAAUAACACUCUAAAUGUAAAUGAGAAAUACUCAAGUUAAUAAUAAAAAAAUAAUAAUC